rnacentral:ncRNA from 2 species
ACUGUGUCCGGUGCAGCUGGUUCGCCCUGCCCGCCAGGCAGACGCGUCGUAAGAGGGAACCCGGUGGGAAUCCGGGACUGCCCCGCAGCGGUGAGCGGGAACGACCGCCGUCAUACGCACUGGAUCCGGGCCGCGGAUCCGGGAAGCGACGGCCAGUAGGUGCCCGCCGGGAGAGCCCGGCAGGCGUGCCCGCGAGUCCGAAGACCUGCCCGUUGCCCGCGCGCGUC